UACGGAGGGGGCUAGCGUUGUUCGGAAUUACUGGGCGUAAAGCGCACGUAGGCGGCUUUGUAAGUUAGAGGUGAAAGCCCGGGGCUCAACUCCGGAAUUGCCUUUAAGACUGCAUCGCUUGAAUUGUGGAGAGGUAAGUGGAAUUCCGAGUGUAGAGGUGAAAUUCGUAGAUAUUCGGAAGAACACCAGUGGCGAAGGCGGACUUACUGGACACAU
rnacentral:rRNA from 1 species